GAUAGAGUGUGUAGGAAGAGGUUGUGUGGGUGGUUGUUAUUGGUUUCUGUCAGAGAACCGUGACCUAAGGUGAUGGACUUCAGGAUUUUUAUGCUGUGGCGGACAGAUCAUGGUUCUGGUUUUGUUGCCUGUUAAUUCAAGGGUGUUUUCAAGAGCAGAAUGGUGAAACCAGUAGACUAAAACAAUUCAGAAACUGAAUUGCUUCAGCAUAUCAUGGGCCUGAAUCACAUAAUUUUUCCAUGGUCCCCUCUGGUUUGUGAGACAUCCGCAGUUUGAAAAACCCUGGUGUAAAG
ensembl:lncRNA